CACACCGCCUGUCACACCAUGGGAGUGGGUUCCACCAGAAGUAGUUAGCCUAACCGCAAGGAGGGCGAUUACCACGGUGAGAUUCAUGACUGGGGUG
rnacentral:rRNA from 1 species